rnacentral:rRNA from 1 species
GACGAACGCUGGCGGCGUGCCUAAUACAUGCCAGUCGAACGAACCGCGACUGAGUGCUUGCACUUGGUCAAGGUGAGUGGCGAACGGGUGAGUAACACGUGGGUAACCUACCUCAUAGUGGGGGAUAACAGUCGGAAACGACUGCUAAUACCGCAUAGGACAUGGAAUCACAUGAUUCUGUGAGGAAAGGUGGCGCAAGCUAUCGCUAAGAGAUGGACCCGCGGUGCAUUAGCUAGUUGGUAGGGUAAGGGCCUACCAAGGCGAUGAUGCAUAGCCGACCUGAGAGGGUGAUCGGCCACAUUGGGACUGAGACACGGCCCAAACUCCUACGGGAGGCAGCAGUAGGGAAUCUUCCGCAAUGGACGCAAGUCUGACGGAGCAACGCCGCGUGAGUGAAGAAGGUCUUCGGAUCGUAAAGCUCUGUUGUUAGAGAAGAACAGCGCAUAGAGUAACUGUUAUGCGUGUGACGGUAUCUAACCAGAAAGCCACGGCUAACUACGU